rnacentral:miRNA from 1 species
AAGACAGAAAUCGUGCCUGCUGCCACAAACCCGUAGAUCCGAACUUGUGGUGAAAGGCAACACAAGCUCGUGUCUACAGGUCUGUGACAGUGCGGCAAUCACA